UCCACUCUUGCAGCAUGUGCCUUGUCUCAU
rnacentral:piRNA from 1 species